rnacentral:pre_miRNA from 1 species
AGCUUUCUGAAUGCAUGCUGAGAUUUCAUCAGACACCAGCCCAUUAUGGUUGAUCAGACUUCACAGGUAAGUGAAGUU